GGAGAAUCUGUAUUUUUAAAUACAAAUAAACAGACAUGCAUUCUAACUGAAACUCCAUGUGGUUUACAUGUGAUUCUGAUUGUUAUGAGAUUGCAUAAUCAUAUGGAAACAUGAUAUUCUCAUAAAUUUUUGGUAAGACCUCACAUCAAAACAUAAACAUCUGAUUCUCCCUUCCUUUCAAACUUACAGAAAUGUAGUAAUCAAGAAACCUGAUCAGUGGAACAGAUGUACUUCAGAUGCCUUAUCUUAUUCAAGCAAAGACCUUAACAAGAAAAGAAAGAGUUUGUACGUUCGUCCCGUGACAUGCGUGGGUUUUCUCCGAGAUCUGCGGUUUCCUCCCACACUCCAAAGAUGUACAGGAAAGAAUUCAAUAAUCAAAAACAUAAGAUUCUGCAAGCUAUAGUCUUAUGACUGAAAUUGAAAGUAAUCAGCAUUUCAAGUUCAAGAAAAAGAGAAUGAGACACAAGAGAUUACAGAUGCUGGAAUAUAUGUCAGGAAAAGAAGACCUUUGCUUCAAGAAAUAUGGCAAAGUAUGAUCAAGAAAGAAUUGGUAAUCAAUAUAUCAUUUUCUGUUAUGUUAUGUGUGCAUGAUCCUAGUAUACACAAAAUUUGCAUGCUCUUAAACAUCACCAUUUUACAUUAACACUCAUUUGUACUAUUUAAUAAAUGUAAAUGGAGGGCAGCCAUUUAUAAUUGGGAUGCAUAUGAAUUUCUUCUCGAAAAGGAUGAAUGCCUGGAAUCUAUGUUUGUGAAAACUUGAUAACUGGAGGCAAUUAAAGAAGUUCUUACAUAGGGCACCAGAAAUAGUCCUUGUAACAUAUAAUAGUUUCUAGCCAGAUGGGAUAUGCACACAUCUCUUCCAAAUGAAUUAGAAGGAAAUACUGUGUAGUGCUUUUACUUCAUAAAUGAAGCAGAAACUAUGUCAACAUUCAAGAUUAGA